CCCUUAGAUGUUCUGGGCCGCACGCGCGCUACACUGAUGAAUUCAACGAGCACUAACCUGUGCCGAAAGGUUCGGGUAAUCUUGUGAAAUUUCAUCGUGAUGGGGAUUGAUUAUUGCAAUUUUUAAUCAUAAACGAGGAAUGCCUAGUAAGCGUGAGUCAUCAGCUCACGUUGAUUACGUCCCUGCCCUUUGUACACACCGCCCGUCGCACCUACCGAUUGAAUGGUCCGGUGAAGCCUCCGGAUUGGCGCGCACCUCGGUGCCGCCGAGAAGUUGGCUAAACCUUACCAUUUAGAGGAAGGUGAAGUCGUAACA
rnacentral:rRNA from 1 species